rnacentral:rRNA from 1 species
CAGCCGCCGCGGUUAUACGUAGGGUAAAAAUAAUUAUUUUUGAUUUGUAGUAAAAAAAAUUAUUUUCUUUAUAUUUUUUAUUUUUAGGUGAAAUUUUAAUGUUAAAUAUAACAGUUGAUUUUGAUUCUAUGAAACUUAUAACUAAAACAAGGAUUAGAUACCCUUUUAUUUUAAGUGUAAAAUUUUUAAUUAGGGUAGUAUUAGUUAUGUUCUUGAAACUCAAAGAAUUUGGCGGUAUCCUAUUCUUUUUAGAGGAACCUGUUCUGUAAUUGACACUCCACGAGGAUGAUUAACUAUUUUUUGUUUAUCAGUUUGUAUACCUCCGUCAUAAGAUUAUCUUAAUAGAGUUAAUGUUCUCAUUAUAUAGAAAUAUAGGAUGUCAGGUCAAGGUGCAAUUUAUGAAAUAGUAGAAAUGGGUUACAAUAAAUUUAUUUAAAUGGAUUAAAAUAAUUAUUUAUUUUAUGAAGGUGGAUUUAAAAGUAAAAUUGAUUUCUUAUUAUAUUGAUCAUGGCUCUAGGAUAUGUACACAUCGCCCGUCACUCUUGUUAUAAGAUAAGAUAAGUCGUAACAUAGUAGAUGUAUUGGAAAAUGUAUCUAGAUAGAAAACGA